rnacentral:rRNA from 11 species
UUUAGGUAGUUGAUGGGGUAAAGUCUUAUCAAGCCGAAAAUGCUUAGUUGUUUCUGGAGAGAAGAUCAACCACACUGGGGAUGAGAGAUACCCAGACUUUUUAAUAGGGCAGCAGUGGGGAAUAUUGGACAAUGAGCGUAAGCUUGAUCCAGCAAUACUGUGUGUGUGAGGAAGACUAAUUGUAAAGCACUUUCGAAAAUCUGGAAUAAUGAUAUAAGAUUUUAAAAGAAGCUCCGGCUAAUUCCGUGCCAGCAGCCGCGGUAAUACGGGGGGAGCUAGUGUUACUUAUCAUGACUGGGCGUAAAGGGUUCGUAGGUUGUCCCGAAAAUUCAAAUGGAGAAAAGUUUAAAGCCUAACUUUAGAUUUCCUGCGAAAAAACGGUGACUUGAGUCUAACAAAGGAUGACAGAAUUUUUAAUGAAGGAGUAAAAUCCAUCGAGAUUAAUAAAGACUACCGCCCGGUGAAGACGGUUAUCUGUGGUAGACUGACACUAAUGGACGAAAGCAUAGGGAGCAAACAGGAUUAGAUACCCUGGUAGUCUAUGCUGUCAACAAUGGGUUUUCAGGAAGGUUUCGCUAGGGUUAUUGUAUUUUAGAGAGGGAAUUUUUCCAUUUAUUUUCUAACAAGCAGCUAAGUUGCUUUCCUUUAGUUAACGCGUUAAAUACCCCGCCUGAGUAGUACGGUCGCAAGACUGAAAUUCAAAGAAAUUGACGGAAGUUUGCACAAGCGGUGGAGCAUGUGGUUUAAUCCGAAGCAACGCGCACAACCUUACCAAUCCGAGAAUUGGAAA